rnacentral:rRNA from 1 species
UACGUAGGGUGCGAGCGUUAAUCGGAAUUAUUGGGCGUAAAGCGCGCGCAGGCGGUUUCUUAAGUCUGAUGUGAAAGCCCACGGCUCAACCGUGGAGGGUCAUUGGAAACUGGGGAACUUGAGUGCAGAAGAGAAAAGCGGAAUUCCACGUGUAGCGGUGAAAUGCGUAGAUAUGCGGAGGAACACCGGUGGCGAAGGCGGCCAUCUGGACGACGACUGACGCUGAGACGCGAAAGCGUGGGGAGCAAACAGG